rnacentral:rRNA from 1 species
AACGAACGCUGGCGGCAUGCCUAACACAUGCAAGUCGAACGAGACCUUCGGGUCUAGUGGCGCACGGGUGCGUAACGCGUGGGAACCUGCCCUUAGGUUCGGAAUAACUCCCCGAAAGGGGUGCUAAUACCGGAUAAUGUCUUCGGACCAAAGAUUUAUCGCCUUUGGAUGGGCCCGCGUUGGAUUAGCUAGUUGGUAGGGUAAAAGCUUACCAAGGCGACGAUCCAUAGCUGGUCUGAGAGGAUGAUCAGCCACACUGGGACUGAGACACGGCCCAGACUCCUACGGGAGGCAGCAGUGGGGAAUAUUGGACAAUGGGGGAAAGCCUGAUCCAGCAAUGCCGCGUGAGUGAUGAAGGCCUUAGGGUUGUAAAGCUCUUUUACCCGGGAUGAUAAUGACAGUACCGGGAGAAUAAGCUCCGGCUAACUCCGUG